GACAGAAUAGUCAUUUUACUUGAUAAAAUAAAUCUUUUGGUCAUUCUAGAAACAUCCAUUUGUCUCUUUCACUGAACAUCUCUAGUGCCACACUCUCGGUUCACUGAACUAUUAUGGUUCUCUUCAUCUUCAUAGCAGGUUGUAAUUUUGUCCAAUUCAUAUUCGAUUUUCCUUCAUCAUCAAUUUUCACUCCUUGCCUUUUGGGUUCUUUUCGGAUUCCCAAUUUCAUAGGAAGGAAUUCAUGAUAUGUAUAUAUGGUAUAAAAGGCAUCAUUGUUGUAGGGCCUCAAAUGGAGCAAUCUUUUAUAUUGAGUCAAGGAAAAAAAGUCUGUCAUCCUACUUGAUUAUUGUGCCUCAACUACUUUAUGAAGUACCAACAGCAGUGGUGGCGCAGUUGAAAGGGGUUGUCCCAACCUACCUAGAAGUCGAGGGUUCGACCCUGGAUAUGGACAAACACUCUGUUGGGAGCUCUCCCCCAAAUGGGGCCCAACGCGGGACGAAUCCGAAUAUAGUCGGACUCUUAAAAAGCGGGGACCAAACACCGGGUGGUUUAAACCAAAAAAAAAAAAACUACUUUAUGAAGUCAACGUAGUUAAAUAUCUCGAUGGUGAUGCUCUAAUGCGCUUUGACGAUGACAAGGAAUAACAUACACUUUAGUGUGAAUAUAUAUCCUAUCUUUGCAUUAUUUUAUACAUUUUUUCUAAUCGUAUAGCUUUGUUUCCUUGUUCAAUCUUUGAGCUUAUGUUUAUCUCAUGUGAAUAUAACUUGUUACAGCUGUUUUUUCAAUCUAUUUAAAAAUUGUUAGGUCCAUUUUUUUCUUAAUUAUUCUAUCUAUGAAAUAACUCAGUAAUUCCUUGUGAUUUUCACACUUGUUUUACCAUUAUAUUUAAAUUUGAUUUUGAUUUAUAGAAGAUAUAGAGACUUUAAAUUGGUUUUUCUACAAGGCCUCUUCACUACUCAAGCUUCAUUCUAUUAAGGUAAUCCUAUCAAACUGUCCUAUAUAUCUCAUUUUGCUUUGAUUAAUUUAAGUUUUUACUCACUCUUUGUAUAAAAAACAACAAUUGUUUGGAUGGAAAUUUUGAACCCUUAGGUAGUCUCGAUAUGAAGAAGCAGUUUAUUUAAUGCUAGAACUUAUAACUUUGUUUUUUUUUUUAUAUUGCAAUCUACUAUUUUCGUUAUAUACGCAGGUUCUAUCUAAUUAUGUGGAGUUCAACUUUAUGCAGUUUACAAGAAGCUAUAUAAUGGAUUAUAUCAGUCCUUGGCAAGGUCUUAAAAAUUGAUUCUAGAAUAAAUUGGUUAUUACUUUAUAUUGUAAUAAACUAGUGGUAAGAUUUGAGAUUGGCCUAUUGGCCAACAGUGAAGUUGUGCUAUAACUCCGUGGAACCUCGAGUUUAGUGAAUCAGUGUACACCAAAAUAAAACAAGGUAAAAUUCAAUAGCUUCCAAGUUGAUGUUGUCUUCGAUGUUCAUUAAUUAUGAACUAGAUAAAUCAAUAAAAAGUUACAAUAAA